rnacentral:rRNA from 1 species
CCUACGGGGGGCAGCAGUGAGGAAUAUUGGUCAAUGGACGAGAGUCUGAACCAGCCAAGUAGCGUGAAGGAUGACUGCCCUAUGGGUUGUAAACUUCUUUUAUAAAGGAAUAAAACGAGGCACGUGUGCCUUUUUGCAUGUACUUUAUGAAUAAGGAUCGGCUAACUCCGUGCCAGCAGCCGCGGUAAUACGGAGGAUCCGAGCGUUAUCCGGAUUUAUUGGGUUUAAAGGGAGCGUAGAUGGGUUGUUAAGUCAGUUGUGAAAGUUUGCGGCUCAACCGUAAAAUUGCAAUUGAUACUGGCAGUCUUGAGUACAGUUGAGGUAGGCGGAAUUCGUGGUGUAGCGGUGAAAUGCUUAGAUAUCACGAAGAACCCCGAUUGCGAAGGCAGCUUACUAAACUGUGACUGACAUUGAUGCACGAAAGCGUGGGUAUCGAACAGGAUUAGAUACCCGAGUAGUC